UACGAAGGGGGGCUAGCGUUGCUCGGAAUUAUUGGGCGUAAAGCGCACGUAGGCGGCUUUGCAAGUCCCAUGUGAAAUCCCACGGCUUAACCGUGGAGGUGCAUGGGAAACUGCAGAGCUUUGAGUACUUAAGAGGAUCGCGGAAUUCCCGGUGUAGAGGUGAAAUUCGUAGAUAUCGGGAGGAACACCAGUGGCGAAGGCGGCGAUCUGGGAAGAUACUGACGCUGAGGUGCGAAAAGCGUGGGGGAGCAAACAGG
rnacentral:rRNA from 1 species